rnacentral:rRNA from 1 species
GAUGAACGCUGGCGGCGUGCCUAAUACAUGCAAGUCGAGCGAACAGACGAGGAGCUUGCUCCUCUGACGUUAGCGGCGGACGGGUGAGUAACACGUGGAUAACCUACCUAUAAGACUGGGAUAACUUCGGGAAACCGGAGCUAAUACCGGAUAAUAUAUUGAACCGCAUGGUUCAAUAGUGAAAGACGGUUUUGCUGUCACUUAUAGAUGGAUCCGCGCCGCAUUAGCUAGUUGGUAAGGUAACGGCUUACCAAGGUAACGAUGCGUAGCCGACCUGAUAGGGUGAUCGCCCACACUGGAACUGAGACGCGGUCCAGACUCCUACGGGAGGCAGCAGUAGGGAAUCUUCCGCAAUGGGCGAAAGCCUGACGGAGCAACGCCGCGUGAGUGAUGAAGGUCUUCGGAUCGUAAAACUCUGUUAUUAGGGAAGAACAAAUGUGUAAGUAACUAUGCACGUCUUGACGGUACCUAAUCAGAAAGCCACGGCUAACUACGUG